UCCUGGCACCGAUGGCCAGUCUGUGAAAUCUUUUCGAGAGGAAAUGAUGAAAGAAAGAGAAAUGAAAAUUGAUAGAAUCUGGUAAAGGAUAAGUAAGGCAAGAGUAAGCGUGCACUCUUUUAUGACAUUUUAAUUUUAGAGGCGAAAAAUUCUUUAAUUGAUAACGAUUUCGUACCUCAGCUGGAUGAUAUCAUCAUGUGAAAGUGAGCUUCGUAGCAGAGUUCUUGUGAUCCAAUUGCUCAUCUGGAGUUGUCAUAUUCACUGCAUGUGUUUCAUCGUGUUUCAGAUACAGGCUCAAUAUGUGCCACGAUAAGGAAGGAGCCGAGAUUUGGCUGAGGAAGAAACAACUUAAUAGUAAUAUCCAAUUUCACUAAGGGAGGCCAGUAAUAUGGAGUUCUGCAGAUAUGAUAGCUUACUUUCAACACAGACUGAGGCUAAGUGGCUGAAUGCAUGUAGGUAAGUAUGUAUGUAAGUAUGUAAUGUAUGUACGUACAUAUGUAUGUACGUGUGUACCAAUGUAUGUAUGUAUGAUGUCAUUGUGCUUGAUGUGUUUUUAUGUAUGUGUCAGUAUACUUGAUGAAUAUCUCUUGAAUGCAAUGUCAACUUCAGCCUAUAAUUGUUGAAACUGCAAAAAAUAAAGAUCCUGUAUAAUGCAAAAUACUUCAAAUUAUCAUGUCAUAA